rnacentral:rRNA from 1 species
ACAGCAGUAGCCGCGGGAACACGAAGGGUGCAAGCGUUACUCGGAAUUACUGGGCGUAAAGCGUGCGUAGGUGGUGGUUUAAGUCCGUUGUGAAAGCCCUGGGCUCAACCUGGGAAUUGCAGUGGAUACUGGGUCACUAGAGUGUGGUAGAGGAUAGUGGAAUUUCCGGUGUAGCAGUGAAAUGCGUAGAGAUCGGAAGGAACAUCUGUGGCGAAGGCGACUAUCUGGGCCAACACUGACACUGAGGCACGAAAGCGUGGGGAGCAAACAGGAUUAGAGACCCCCGUAGUCCCUGUCUCUUAUAC